AGUUUCUAUUAACACUUAUCUUAAUUAUAUAUUGAAUACAUUAACAGUUUCUAUUAACACUUAUCUUUAACAUUGGAUGGAUAAAGUACAACAUGAAAAUAACUUAUACAAGUGAAGUGAGAGGUUAGCUAGCUAUAAAUAUAAUCAAAGCCUUAAAGGCUGUAAAAGCAAUUGCUGCCAUGUUAAUGUUUGGAGACUUUUAUUUUUCAUCCACAUA
rnacentral:lncRNA from 1 species